UGUAAAUGAUGACAAAAUAUUUCCCUGACAUAAUGCUGAGGGUAGAAACUGAUUUAAUGAGCCUGAUGC
ensembl:snoRNA SNORD57 small nucleolar RNA, C/D box 57